GGAGAGGUGUCGGAGCGGCUGAUCGAGCAGCCUUGGAAAGGCUGUGUAGGGUUUACUCUACCGUGGGUUCGAAUCCCACCCUCUCCG
rnacentral:tRNA from 1 species